UACAGAGGGUGCGAACGUUGCUCGGAAUUACUGGGCGUAAAGCGCGUGUAGGCGGGACUGCAAGUCAGAUGUGAAAUCCCCGGGCUCAACCUGGGAACUGCACCUGAAACUGCAGACCUUGAGUACUGGAGAGGGCGGCGGAAUUCCUGGUGUAGAGGUGAAAUUCGUAGAUAUCAGGAGGAACACCGGUGGCGAAGGCGGCCGCCUGGACAAAGACUGACGCUCAGGUGCGAAAGCGUGGGGAGCAAACAGG
rnacentral:misc_RNA from 1 species